ACGAACGCUGGCCGCAUGCCUAACACAUGCAAGUCGAACGAGACCUUCGGGUCUAGUGGCGCACGGGUGCGUAACGCGUGGGAACCUGCCCUUAGGUUCGGAAUAACUCCCCGAAAGGGGUGCUAAUACCGGAUAAUGUCUUCGGACCAAAGAUUUAUCGCCUUUGGAUGGGCCCGCGUUGGAUUAGCUAGUUGGUAGGGUAAAAGCCUACCAAGGCGACGAUCCAUAGCUGGUCUGAGAGGAUGAUCAGCCACACUGGGACUGAGACACGGCCCAGACUCCUACGGGAGGCAGCAGUGGGGAAUAUUGGACAAUGGGCGAAAGCCUGAUCCAGCAAUGCCGCGUGAGUGAUGAAGGCCUUAGGGUUGUAAAGCUCUUUUACCCGGGAUGAUAAUGACAGUACCGGGAGAAUAAGCUCCGGCUAACUCCGUG
rnacentral:rRNA from 1 species